GUCACGUUUCAGUUCUAUUUGCUACGCUUCUAGAGGGGUUUUAAUUCUGCUAUUAGUUCCUCUCUGAAGAUGGCAUUGAUCAGCAGCUUGUUGCCAUGGAGAGGGAAGGAAAAGGAUGUGUCAUACUCAUAUUAUUUAUCGCUGAAAACUUUACUUUUUAAAUUUUAAUAUUCUUAUUUUAACUUAAGCAUGAAAGUAGGAAUUGUUUUCUGAUACAGCAGCAAAAAUUACUAAGUUUGAUAAUUUAAUUAAAAAACAAAUUCAUGGAAAGUCUUCUGAAAUUAUAUGUUUAUUUUCCGCUUAAAAAAGGUUUGAAAUAUAAAUUAUAUAGAGUUUAAAGUUUCAUGUAGCUUGAUUUAUGUGCGGUAGUUAUUGCACCAGAACAUUUCCCUUUUAAAUAAAAGUUCAAGAAUGAAUGAAAUUUUCUUCAGAAAGAUCCCAUGUUAUAUAUUAUGUUCAGAAAUUAUAUCUGAAUAAUUAAAUAAAGAACUACGAAUGGCAGGUGAAGAGAAAAAUUCGGGUAAAAAAGAUUGAGCGUGAAGAAGCAAAAAUUCUACUCAGUUUUUUCUGUGCUACCGGCGUUCUGUUGAAUUCCUUUCACGGUUAUUCCACUAUUGACUGUUGUAAGGAUCUAAUUCGAAGAGUUCUAUGCACUCACUCCAGUUCUGAAGAUCAACAGAAUGCCUCAGUUUACGGGAAG